CGUAGGUACAAGCGUUGUCCGGAAUUAUUGGGCGUAAAGAGCUCGUAGGCGGUUCGUCGCGUCUGCUGUGGAAACGCAAGGCUCAACCUUGCGCGUGCAGUGGGUACGGCGGACUAGAGUGCAGUAGGGAGUCUGGAAUUCCUGGUGUAGCGGUGAAAUGCGCAGAUAUCAGGAGGAACACCGGUGGCGAAGGCGGGACUCUGGGCUGUAACUGACGCUGAGGAGCGAAAGCAUGGGAGCGAACAGGAUU
rnacentral:rRNA from 1 species